UUAUCGGUGGAUCACUCGG
rnacentral:rRNA from 2 species